rnacentral:rRNA from 1 species
GAUAAACGCUGGCGGCGUGCCUAACACAUGCAAGUCGAACGCUCUUGCGCAAGCAAGAGAGUGGCGGACGGGUGAGGAACACGUGGGUAUCUGCCCUGGGGUGAGGAAUACCGGCGAGAAAUCGCCGACAAUACCGCAUACGCUUCGCAAGAAGCAAAGUCGCAAGACGCCACAGGAUGAGCCUGCGUCCGAUUAGCCAGUUGGUGGGGUAAUGGCCUACCAAAGCGACGAUCGGUAGCUGGUCUGAGAGGACGAUCAGCCACACUGGGAUUGAGAACGGCCCAGACUCCUACGGGAGGCUG